AACUUAUUGCACUUCUACUGUUACACGGCAUGGAAAGCAGCCUGCUUAGUGAGGAGAUGCAGGCAGUGAAGGAGGAGAUAUAUUUCCAUUUUAAUAUGAGCUCUUCUCAAGGUUUGUUAUGGGGACGUCAGCUGGACCACAAAGCAAACACUUUGUGAGGUGCUCACCUGCAAUUUCACCACAAACAGGAGAGGUCCUGGAGCGAACCGAUGGCAUUGGGAGUUUGCUCCUGGCCAGCCCAGAUUGCCUCCAUCUACCAAACCUCAUCCCAGUGGUCUCUCCUGAAGCUCAUGUUUGCCACCCAUGGAGCCACAGGAAUCAUUCGGUGCAGCCAAGAGCAUCACAGCGAUGCUGUAUCCAUCCUGAGCUGCAGCGGUGGCUGUCCUUUCCCCAGCAUCCCUGACCCAACCUGGGUCCUGAAUGCUCUUUGUGGUGAGGCCCCGGCACUGCCC
ensembl:lncRNA